rnacentral:rRNA from 1 species
GGGGGGCAUUAUGCGGGACCGUGAUAAGGGGACACCGAGUGCCAGCAUCAUAUGCUGGCUGUCCAGGUGUGUAAAAUACACCUGUUAGCAAGGGCCGGGCAAGACCGGUGCCAGCCGCCGCGGUAACACCGGCGGCCCGAGUGGUGAUCGUGAUUAUUGGGUCUAAAGGGUCCGUAGCCGGUUUGGUCGGUCCUCCGGGAAAUCUGAUAGCUCAACUAUUAGGCUUUCGGGGGAUACUGCCAGACUUGGAACCGGGAGAGGUAAGAGGUACUACAGGGGUAGGAGUGAAAUCUUGUAAUCC